rnacentral:rRNA from 1 species
CCUACGGGUGGCAGCAGUGGGGGAUAUUGCACAAUGGGGGAAACCCUGAUGCAGCGACGCCGCGUGAGUGAUGAAGUAUUUCGGUAUGUAAAGCUCUAUCAGCAGGGAAGAAAAUGACAGUACCUGACCAAGUAGCCCCGGCUAACUACGUGCCAGCAGCCGCGGUAAUACGUAGGGGGCAAGCGUUAAUCGGAUUUACUGGGUGUAAAGGGAGCGUAGGCGGUUAUGUAAGGCUGGAGUGAAAGCCCGGGGCUCAACCCCGGGAGUGCUUUGGAAACUGUGUAACUGGAGUGCAGGAGGGGCAGGCGGAAUUCCUGGUGUAGCGGUGAAAUGCGUAGAUAUCAGGAGGAACACCGGCGGCGAAGGCAGCCUGCUGGACUGAAACUGACGUUGAGGCUCGAAAGCGUGGGGAGCAAACAGGAUUAGAUACCCGGGUAGUC